CAUACUGGACUUGAGCUAAGACGGCUGUGACAACAAGACUCCAUAAGAUAAUGAAAUGUUGGGUUCUUUUCCAUGAGACUCACCAGCCUUUCUCCUGCAAAGACAGAAAACCUUGUGGAGUUGGUUUGGAAGCAAAGUAACACCAAAGUGAGGGGAGUGGCUGGUCACCCCUAAAUCCCAAGGCUCCAACAAGAAAUAACCUAGAGGACUCACCAGUCACCAGCGUGUCUUCAGGAAUCUCCUCAAUGAUGCAUUUUUCCUCCUGCUCUCCAAGAUCAAAAUACAUGGCUGCUGCCAACACCAGGUAACAAUGGAGCAGAAA